GCAGAGGAGAAAUGAGAGGCGGCGGGCAGGAAUUGCAGGAAUGUUGUCAAAUGGAAAGCUGACGUGUUUACCAAAUUCACAAAGUGGAACCAUCUGACGACCCUGAACGAUUUCAGUUUGGCGGGAUGACCUUUCUAAAGGACGACCUUUGACCUCGGAGCCGCCGGAGAUGAGUGGGUGAACCCGGCUGCCAACGAAGGUUCUCUAUAAAAACCAAAGUGGAAAGCAGAGACUGGGUCCAAAUAUCAAGCACAUGCUGAAUGAGAAGGAUACAAGGACAUGCUGCAGAGACAUGGCUGUAGGAAUGACUCGUUCCCACAGUUAUUCAUUUAAAUUUCACCAGAUUGCAGAUUAAAGUGAUAUUUAAGUGUCAAAAUAACAAAUAAAAGAGGAUC
ensembl:lncRNA